rnacentral:tRNA from 1 species
AGAAACUUAGGAUAAUAUAAACCAAGGGCCUUCAAAGCCUUAAACAAGAGUUAAAACCUCUUAGUUUCUG